CUGUGUCGGCCUCUCUCACCUGGGUUGGGCGUCUCGACUGUUGGCGACGGUGGUCGGCGUUGUGGUGUGCUGAUGCGAGUGUUGAUGCGAGUGCUGUUAUGGCCUGUAGCGCAACAGUUUAGCUGUUAACGGCCCUAAACCUGUGGAGUCGCCUGGUCGGCGUUCUGUAUAUGCACGCGACGUUGCUCCCGGUCCGUGUGAGCGAAUUGUUUGCUGUGCGGGCUGUCUCGCUCUUGCCUGUGGGCUGAUUAUGUGUGAGCGCUGUGGAAUCGUGGGGUGAUCUGCUGCCUCGGCAGGGGUUUGAACGCCGGCUUGGUCCGUCUGCCUUGUGUCUCGGCUUUGGUUAUAUCUCUCCCUGUCUCUCUCUCUCCCUCCCCCUGUGGGAUUGCCCUCUGCCUGGUCGGCCCAGUUCAGGUGUCGUCCCGAAAAGUGAUCGUCCGCCGAAAACUGAUGUUUGGUAGGCCUAUGUCCCAAUAUCUCCGUUUAUAUUUGGAAAACUGACUGUAUAGCCUAAUUAACAUGACUUACUGCCAACUUGUAUAUAAAAUGAAGACAAUUUUGUAAUUAUCCUUAUGACUGCAUUAUUUUACUUGCUGUGUAGGCCUACCGACCAAUCCACUUUUUUUACCUGUUAAAAUACCUCUUAAAUGGCCAAUACAACUCAUAAAAUGCAGUAUUUCACUUGCCAGAAAAUGAUCGAAGCCUUUUGUUAUUGACUGGUUAUUUCUGCCCUGAAAUUAGUUGACUUCAUUCAGAAGAGUUAUAUUUGACAGAUUAUAGCUCACCUAGUACUUUAUGUCUUAAAAUACCUUUAAAUGGCCAAUACAACCCAUAAAAUGCAGUAGGCUAUUUCACUUGCCGGAAAGUGACUGAAGAGACUGGGCAAUACAGCUCCAGCAGAUUGCAAUCAUUUUUCGGCACAACACCUGUCACCUUUUUAUUAGCAUUUUUUUGUUUGGGUCUAGUUAUAGUAUAUUUAGUUUAUACAGUUGGCAUCUUGUGUUGUGAUUUUCAAUCUUCUGUUUUCAUCUUGGUUGGUUUGAAUUAAUUGACUUGCAUGUUUUGAUUUGUGUUGUUUUGAUUUAUUCUCUCUGCCAUUGUAUUUUAAAUAGUAAGCCUAUAUUGUAUUUUAAAUUAUUUGGCCCAUAUUUCUAUUAUUCAAUGGCAUGCCUUAAGUGGUAGCCUAUACGUAGUUGGUGUUCUGUUAAAUUACUUUGGUUGUUUUUAAUUAGAACUUAGUUUAAUAAAUUUAAAUGUAAAACACUC